AUCCUGUCAAUUCUAUUAGUAAAAAUUGGUCUUUCUAGCCAAUAAUUAUAUUUGUUUUCUUAAUAGAGAUAUAGACAAAAUUUCACUUUAUGCUCUACAUGAAACAUGGUUUCUUAUACAUUUAUCAAGAUGCAUUGUUCCAAACUCCAUAAUUCCUUCAGUACUAAUGGAUCAUAGUGGACAUAUUCAAAAUACUUAACCAUUGUAUUAUGGCAACAAACAAAUCAGAACAUGCCAUUGAGCAUUCAGACUUGGUCACAAACAAUAGCUGCCUUGCACAUAUCUGCUAAAUUCAAUAUUUGGCAUAUAUCCUACCGAAGCUACUAGGAAUCACUGUCAUCUAAGAAAAGUUUCAUCUGACUCAUCUUUUAGUUUUGAUGUAAAAAUUAUCACAACAGGUCUUCAGCAUAGAAAACUGGAUCUUUAGUGGUAUGCUUCUUACUUAUGGCUUCAUAUCUUUAAAAACACCUGAUCUUAUGACAGAACCUCUAGAAAAAAUAGGUGAAAUAUCUUUAGAUAACUUUAUUUCUGUUGCUAUGAUAAACAACAUGACCAGAACCAACUUAGUGUGAAAACUAUUUAUCUAGCUUAUACUUUCUGACCACAGACCAUCAUUGAGGCAAGUCAAAGCAGAAUUCAAGCAGAAGCAGAGUGAGGAAUCAUAGAGGAGCUUUGCUUACUGGAUUACUACCUCUGAUUUGCUCAGCUUUCUUUCUUGCAGAGUCUGGGCCCACAUGCCUAGGGAUAGCACCACUCACAGUGGUCUGGGCCCUCCUAUAUCAAAUAGCAAUCAAGAAAAUGUCUCUCAGACAUGACAAUAGACCAAUCUGAUCAAGGGACUGCUUUAGUUGAAGUUUCUCUUUCCAGAUAUCCCUUAGUUUGUGUCAAGUUGACCACAGAAGCUAUCACAGUUACAGGCUAAAACGAAUCUACAUUGAAUUCCAUUGAAAAUCCCUUUCCUCUUGAAGUUGUCUCUCUCUAUGGGGUCAGUAUCAACGGAUUUCUCAUCAUACUCAUAUAUUUCUGUGACUUCUCUCUACUUUUCAUCUGUACUAUGUAUGUACUUCUAAGAUCUAUUUUUUUCUCUACUAGUGACCUCAUCCAAAAUAUACCAACAAAGUUGGUUUUUCUCCUGUUUCAUAUUUUCACAGGUGGAUAUCAAAACCAAAUCCUGCCAUUGAAAUUCCACAACAGUGUAGAAUUUUCUCCAUCUCUCACCAUCUCACAUCCAGUCCUGGUUUUGCAACCUUCAAUCAGUUAAUUACUUUACGUACAUUCAUUCAUUUAAUCUUCAGUGAGCACUACCACUGAGCUGCUAACUGAUGGCAAGGAAAAUAAGAACAGCUUGGUUUCUACCCUCAUGAAGAAAAAGAUUAAGGAUGAUGUCUAGAUUUUUUUGAAUUUUCAUCUUACAUGAAAAUUUGUGAAGUUUCAACUGGAAACAUAGGUGAUGCCAUUUUGUAAACUGUGUGGCAUACCAUUUUAUAAUAGUAUACAUGUUUAUCAUCUCCUUUCUUUAUAUGAUAGAUGAAAAGACCAUAUGUCAUCCAUCUAUACAAAAUGUCUUCCAGCUUGUCUAGGAUUGAGAGAUGUUCAUUAGUAAAAAGAGAAUUAAUGAAUGCUGAAGUGAAAAAUACCUAAAUAUGAUAAAUUAUCCCCUUUGAGAAAUAUGUUUAUAUUGAUACAUGUAUGAAUGUAUGUAGUUAUGUGUAUGUGUAAUGGCUAUUCUCAGUUGUCAAUUUGACUAUAUCUGGAAUGAAUUACAGUACAGAAAUGGAGAACAUACCUGUGAUCUGGAUCUUGAGACAGGAAGACACAGGUUUUGAUCCAGAUCUUGAGGUAGAUGAUAACAUGCUUUAAAUCCAGAUCUUGAGGCACACCUUUAAUCAAAGCCAUACCUUCUACUGGAGACCUAUAUUAGG
rnacentral:lncRNA from 1 species